ACAUCCAGAGAAUUUAGCAGAGAUGCUUUAGUGCCUUCGGGAACUCUGAGACAGGUGCUGCAUGGCUGUCGUCAGCUCGUGUUGUGGAAUGUUGGGUUAAGUCCCGNAACGAGCGCAACCCUUUAUCCUUUGUUGCCAGCACGUAAUGGUGGGAACUCAAAGGAGACUGCCGGUGAUAAACCGGAGGAAGGUGGGGAUGACGUCAAGUCAUCAUGGCCCUUACGAGUAGGGCUACACACGUGCUACAAUGGCGCAUACAAAGAGAAGCGACCUCGCGAGAGCAAGCGGACCUCAUAAAGUGCGUCGUAGUCCGGAUUGGAGUCUGCAACUCGACUCCAUGAAGUCGGAAUCGCUAGUAAUCGUAAAUCAGAAUGUUACGGUGAAUACGUUCCCGGGCCUUGUACACACCGCCCGUCACACCAUGGGAGUGGGUUGCAAAAGAAGUAGAUAGCUUAACCUUCGGGAGGGCGUUUACCACUUUGUGAUUCAUGACUGGGGUGAAGUCGUAACAAGGUAGGCGUAGUGCU
rnacentral:rRNA from 1 species